rnacentral:rRNA from 1 species
CCAAUAGCGUAUAUUAAAGUUGUUGCAGUUAAAAAGCUCGUAGUUGAAUUUCGGGAUCAAUAUGUCGGUCGUGCCUUCGGUACGUACUGGUAUCAUUGGUCUCUCCUUUCUGACGAACCAUGAUGUCAUUAAUUUGGUGUUAUGGGGAGUUAGGACUGUUACUUUGAAAAAAUUAGAGUGUUUAAAGCAGGCUUUAGCUUGAAUACAUUAGCAUGGAAUAAUGAAAUAGGACGUUCGAACCUAUUUUGUUGGUUUCUAGGAUCAACGUAAUGAUUAAUAGGGGUAGUUGGGGGCAUUAGUAUUAAAUUGUCAGAGGUGAAAUUCUUUGAUUUAUUGAAGACUAACUACUGCGAAAGCAUUUGCCAAGGAUGUUUCCAUUAAUCAAGAACGAAAGUUAGGGGCUCGAAGACGAUCAGAUACCGUCGUAGUCUUAACCAUAAACUAUGCCGACUAGGGAUCGGAUGAUGUUAAUUUUUUAAUGACUCAUUCGGCGCCUUAUG